rnacentral:rRNA from 1 species
UACAGAGGGUGCAAGCGUUAAUCGGAAUUACUGGGCGUAAAGCGUGCGUAGACGGUCAUGUAAGUCGGGUGUGAAAGCCCCGGGCUCAACCUGGGAAUUGCAUUCGAGACUGCAUGGCUAGGGUGCGGAAGAGGGAAGCGGAAUUUCCGGUGUAGCGGUGAAAUGCGUAGAUAUCGGAAGGAACACCAGUGGCGAAGGCGGGUCUCUGGGCCGAUACUGACGCUGAGGAGCGAAAGCGUGGGGAGCGAACAGG